rnacentral:rRNA from 1 species
UACGGGGGGGGCAAGCGUUGUUCGGAAUUACUGGGCGUAAAGGGCUCGUAGGCGCAACUAAGUCAGACGUGAAAUCCCUCGGCUUAACCGGGAACUGCGUCUGAUGACGUGGAUGGCUGAGAGGGUUGGGAGAGGGGAAUCGCGGAAGUUCCAGGUGUAGGCGGUAGAAAUGCGCAGAUAUCGGGAAGAACACCCGGUGGCUAAGGCGGCUCUCUGAGUACGGUAUGAC